GGAAACGACGUCUAAUACCGGAUACGAGCUGCGAAGGCAUCUUCAGCAGCUGGAAAGAACUUCGGUCAGGGAUGAGCUCGCGGCCUAUCAGCUAGCUGGUGAGGUAAUGGCUCACCAAGGCGUCGACGGGUAGCCGGCCUGAGAGGGUGACCGGCCACACUGGGACUGAGACACGGCCCAGACUCCUACGGGAGGCAGCAGUGGGGAAUAUUGCACAAUGGGCGCAAGCCUGAUGCAGCAACGCCGCGUGAGGGACGACGGCCUUCGGGUUGUAAACCUCUUUUAGCAAGGAAGAAGCGAAAGUGACGGUACUUGCAGAAAAAGCGCCGGCUAACUACGUGCCAGCAGCCGCGGUAAUACGUAGGGCGCAAGCGUUAUCCGGAAUUAUUGGGCGUAAAGAGCUCGUAGGCGGUUUGUCACGUCUGCUGUGAAAACCCGAGGCUCAACCUCGGGCCUGCAGUGGGUACGGGCAGACUAGAGUGCGGUAGGGGAGAUUGGAAUUCCUGGUGUAGCGGUGGAAUGCGCAGAUAUCAGGAGGAACACCGAUGGCGAAGGCAGAUCUCUGGGCCGUAACUGACGCUGAGGAGCGAAAGGGUGGGGAGCAAACAGGCUUAGAUACCCUGGUAGUCCACCCCGUAAACGUUGGGAACUAGUUGUGGGGUCCAUUCCACGGAUUCCGUGACGCAGCUAACGCAUUAA
rnacentral:rRNA from 1 species